GCGGCCGUAGUCUAGUUUGGAUCAGGACGACGGCCUUCCACGCCGUAGAUCGUGGGUUCAAAUCCCACCGGCCGCA
rnacentral:tRNA from 1 species